GUGGGGAAUAUUGGACAAUGGGCGCAAGCCUGAUCCAGCAAUGCCGCGUGAGUGAUGAAGGCCUUAGGGUUGUAAAGCUCUUUUACCAGGGAUGAUAAUGACAGUACCUGGAGAAUAAGCUCCGGCUAACUCCGUGCCAGCAGCCGCGGUAAUACGGAGGGAGCUAGCGUUGUUCGGAAUUACUGGGCGUAAAGCGCACGUAGGCGGUUACUCAAGUCAGAGGUGAAAGCCCGGGGCUCAACCCCGGAACUGCCUUUGAAACUAGGUAACUAGAAUCUUGGGGAGGUCAGUGGAAUUCCGAGUGUAGAGGUGAAAUUCGUAGAUAUUCGGAAGAACACCAGUGGCGAAGGCGACUGACUGGACAAGUAUUGACGCUGAGGUGCGAAAGCGUGGGGAGCAAACAGGAUUAGAAACCCCGGUAGUCC
rnacentral:rRNA from 1 species